CUUCCGCUACGGCUCCCUGAAGGGGCCAUCCCGGGCCUUUCGCGCUUCUGCCCUGGCUCUCUGCGGGCCGCUCCGCCGGUGCUGUCCCUGGGCGCCUCCGUGCUCUCAGCCAACCGCCUCGGAGAGCGCCUACUCGAGCGCCCCGGGAGCCAGAGGGCGGCGGUCCUCGCCGGGACCCUCCUGUGGGCCCAGGGGGACAAAAGUGGCUCUCAAUCCAGCACAUGCACAUUGAAGCAAGUUAAAGGAUUUAAUAUGAAGCACAGAAGCAGAUAGUGCCAAAUAGCAAGCAGUAGUUGGUACACGUUUUCAGCCCUGUCUUUAAAUUUUUCUCCCACAGGGUGAGCGGGGCAGCAUUUCCUUCUCCCACUGCUGCUGAGAUGGCAGAAAUUAGUCGAAUUCAGUACGAAAUGGAAUAUACUGAAGGCAUUAGUCAGCGAAUGAGGGUCCCAGAAAAGUUAAAAGUAGCACCGCCAAACGCUGACCUGGAACAAGGAUUCCAAGAAGGAGUUCCAAAUGCUAGCGUGAUAAUGCAAGUUCCGGAGAGGAUUGUUGUAGCAGGAAAUAAUGAAGAUGUUUCAUUUUCAAGACCAGCGGAUCUUGACCUUAUUCAGUCAACUCCCUUUAAAUCCCUGGCACUGA
rnacentral:sRNA from 1 species